GACGAACGCUGGCGGCGUGCCUAAUACAUGCAAGUUGAGCGCUGAAGGUUGGUACUUGUACCAACUGGAUGAGCAGCGAACGGGUGAGUAACGCGUGGGGAAUCUGCCUUUGAGCGGGGGACAACAUUUGGAAACGAAUGCUAAUACCGCAUAAAAACUUUAAACACAAGUUUUAAGUUUGAAAGAUGCAAUUGCAUCACUCAAAGAUGAUCCCGCGUUGUAUUAGCUAGUUGGUGAGGUAAAGGCUCACCAAGGCGAUGAUACAUAGCCGACCUGAGAGGGUGAUUGGCCACAUUGGGACUGAGACACGGCCCAAACUCCUACGGGAGGCAGCAGUAGGGAAUCUUCGGCAAUGGACGAAAGUCUGAGCGAGCAACGCCGCGUGAGUGAAGAAGGUUUUCGGAUCGUAAAACUCUGUUGGUAGAGAAGAACGUUGGUGAGAGUGGAAAGCUCAUCAAGUGACGGUAACUACCCAGAAAGGGACGGCUAACUACGUG
rnacentral:rRNA from 1 species